rnacentral:tRNA from 1 species
GCGCGAUUAGCUCAUUUGGUAGAGCGGCUCAUUGACGUUGAGCAGGCGGCAAGUUCAAAUCUUGCAUCGCGCACCA